AACGCACCUUGCACCCUUUGGUAUCCCGAAGGGUAUGCCUGUUUGAGUGUCAUUAAAUUAUCAACCUUUAUGGCUUUGCGGCUAUCUAGGCUUGGAUGUGAGGGUUAUUGUGGGCUUCCUUCAGUGGAUGGUCGACUCCCUUUAAAUGCAUUAGUGGAAUCCUUUGUGGAUCGUCGCAGAGUGUGAUAAUUAUUGUGCUCUAAUGUGACUGUGAAGCAACUCGUAUGGAAUCUGCUUCUAACCGUCCUUAAGUUGGACAACUUUACAAUGACAAUUUGACCUCAAAUCAGGUAGGACUACCCGCUGAACUUAA
rnacentral:misc_RNA from 1 species